GAUGAACGCUAGCGGCAGGCCUAACACAUGCAAGUCGAGGGGUAGAGGAAGCUUGCUUCCUUGAGACCGGCGCACGGGUGCGUAACGCGUAUGCAAUCUACCUUUUACAGAGGGAUAGCCCAGAGAAAUUUGGAUUAAUACCUCAUAGUAUCUUUGCCUGGCAUCGGGUGAUUAUUAAAGUUCCAACGGUAAAAGAUGAGCAUGCGUCCUAUUAGCUAGAUGGUAAGGUAACGGCUUACCAUGGCAACGAUAGGUAGGGGUCCUGAGAGGGAGAUCCCCCACACUGGUACUGAGACACGGACCAGACUCCUACGGGAGGCAGCAGUAAGGAAUAUUGGACAAUGGUGGCAACACUGAUCCAGCCAUGCCGCGUGCAGGAUGACGGCCCUAUGGGUUGUAAACUGCUUUUAUUCGGGAAUAAACCUCUGUACGAGUACGGAGCUGAAGGUACCGAAUGAAUAAGCAUCGGCUAACUUCGUGCCAGCCGCCGCAGUAACAC
rnacentral:rRNA from 1 species